rnacentral:lncRNA from 10 species
CGGCCGCGCCUUGCCCAAGCGGCCGCUCCUGGUUUUCCGCGGGGCCGGGAGGGGGCGGGGCAGUGGGCGGGGCUCCGGAUUUGAGUCCGAUUUGGGGAGUGGCGCGAGUUAGGAACUGGCUGGAAGAUGGGGUGUGUGUGCGUAUAUGGGAGCGAGGAAAGCGCUGUAGGAAGCAUGCAGGCCGCUUUAUUUUACAGCUGUGGGAGUGGUGGACAAGGGCGGCGGCUCUGCGAGAAGCACGUGGGCGCGGCGGGCCGCCUCAGGGAUGGAGUAGGCUGUGGUCUUGCCAACUCCCGUUAUCAAAGGCCCAAGGACGCCAUUCACUCAGCCCCGGGCGGGCGUGGGUCUGGGGGCCGGAAACCCGAAGUCCUGUGGGUGCCGUGGAAUGCACGAGCAGCCGGCGGAGCAAACCUGCCCCAUAGAUUUUUCUAAACCGUUCGCCACAGAAACGCUACUCUGUCUUCUCUGACCGACUCUGUGCACUGCAGCCUUGCACAAAGAAAACAGGAGGGUGAUUUUAGAGGCUGUGUGAUCAGACUGGCUCUUAAACCCAAGAGGGACCUCCGCCCACAGCCACCCUCUGGCUCUCCUCUGGCAGUGCCCCUCUUCCGGUCAGGCUGAUGGCCCAGCUGGAGCCUGACCCUCUUCUAGACUACAUACGCUCCAUGUAGUCAGAACUCUGGACUGCUCUGCCCAAAUGGUGCCAAGUUCACUUUCAGGAUCUGGUCGGGACUCUGAACUCACUCCUGUGUCCAAGAAAUAGCUCUUCUUUGGGGUGUGGACAGUACCUGGACCUGUGGGCUAAGGUGUGCACUCCCAGGUGCUUUGGGCCCCUCGUAAUGCAGGAAGAGGGAUCAUUCGCGAUCAGCUUUAUCCUCCAUGACACCUUCCAGCCUGGCCCUUAGAGAAGUCCAGGAAUUCAUAGUUCACAACUGGCCAUCCAGCUCCGUGUAGGAGGUAUUUGUCAAGAAAACCAAAUACAGCAAGAAUGAGAGAAAUUGCACUGUUGCAUUAAAAAGAAUUUUCCUGCCGGGCGCAGUGACUCACGCCUGUAAUCUCAGCACUUGGGGAGGCCGAGGCGGGUGGAUCACGAGGUCAAGAGAUCAAGACCAUCCUCGCCAACAUGGUGAAACCCCGUCUCUACUAAAAAUACAAAAAAUUAGCCGGGUGUGGUGGCGGAUGCCUGUAGUCCCAGCUACUCAAGAAGCUGAGGCAGGAGAAUCACUUGGACCCUGGAGGCAGAGGUUGCAGUGAGCCGAGAUUUCGCCACUGCACUCCAGCCUGGCGACAUAAUGAGACUCUGUCUUAAAAAAAAAAAAAAAAGGAAUUUUCCUCUCACUUUCUUCUCACCACUACUAGAUUAAAGGAGCCCCCUUUUCUUCUGCAGGUGAGAGGUGACAGCGUGCUGGCAGUCCUCACAGCCCUCGCUCGCUCUCAGCGCCUCCUCUGCCUGGGCUCCCACUUCGGCGGCACUUUAGGAGCCCUUCAGCCCACCACUGCACUGUGGGAGCCCCUUUCUGGGCUGGCCAAGGCCGGGGCCGGCUCCCUCAGCUUGCAGGGAGGUGUGGAGAGAGAGGCGCGAGCGGGAACCGGGGCUGCGCGCGUGGCUUGAGGGCCAGCUGGAGUUCCGGGUGGGCGUGGGCUUGGCGGCCCAGCACUCGGAGCAGCCCCCUGCCGGUCCCGGGCAAUGAGGGGCUUAGCACCCAGGCCAGCGGCUGCGGAGGGUGUACUGGGUCCCCCAGCAGUGCCGGCCCACCGGUGCUGCACUCGAUUUCUCGCCGGGCAGGGCUCGGGACCUGCAGCCCACCAUGCCUGAGCCUCCCACCCCCUCCGUGGGCUCGUGUGCGGCCGGAGCCUCCCCUAGGAGCGCCGCCCCCUGCUCCAGGGCGCCCAGUCCCAUCGACCACCCAAGGGCUGAGGAGUGCCGGCGCACGGCGCGGGACUGGCAGGCAGCUCCACCUGCAGCCCCAUUGCGCGAUCCACUGGGUGAAGCCAGCUGGGCUUCUGAGUCUGGUGGGGAUGUGGAGAAGCUUUAUGUCUAGCUCAGGGAUUGUAAAUAUACCAAUCGGCACUCUGUAUCUAGCUCAAGGUUUGUAAACACACCAAUCAGCACCCCUGUCUAGCUCAGGGUUUGUGAAUGCAAUCGACACUCUGUAUCUAGCUACUCUGGUGGGGACUUGGAGAACCUUUGUGUGGACACUCUGUAUCUAGCUAAUCUGGUGGGGACGUGGAGAACCUUUAUAUCUAGCUCAGGGAUUGUAAACACACCAAUCAGCGCCCUGUCAAAACAGACCACUCAGCUCUACCAAUCAGCAGGAUGUGGGUGGGGCCAGAUAAGAGAAUAAAAGCAGGCUGCCCAUGCCAGGAGUGGCAACCUGCUCGGGUCCCAUUCCACACUAUGGGAGCUUUGUUCCUUCACUCUUUGCAAUAAAUCUUGCUGCUGCUCACUCUUUGGGUCCACACUGCCUUUAUGAGCUGUAACACUCACUGCGAAGGUCUGCAGCUUCACCACGAACCCACCGGGAGGAACGAACAACUCCAGAUGCGCCGCCUUAGGAGCUGUAACACUCGCCGCGAAGGUCCGUGGCUUCACUCCUGAGCCAGCGAGACCACGAAGCCCACCAGAAGGAAGAAAUUCCGAACACAUCCGAACAUCAGAAGGAACAAACUCUGGACACGCCACCUUUAGGAACUGUAACACUCACCGCGAGGAUCCGCGGCUUCAUUCUUGAAGUCAGUGAGACCAAGAACCCACUAAUUCCGGACACACAGGGACAGCAAUCCACUGCUUGCCUUGAUGUACGAUUGAAGCCUAUCACCCCUUCUGCAGCAGUGGCUCCAGUAAGUCUUUCAAACUUUGUGGUUUUGAUGGAGACAAAUGAGACAUCAAUUCCCCCAAUUUCCUUUGAGGGAAAAGAAGUUUCCUUUGUAAGUUUUCCUUCAAAAGCCAGCCACAGGGUCUGGUUUAAGGAAUCUGCCUAAUAGGAGUUCUGUUUUACUGGCCACUUGUUACAUAAUCUAGCAAUCAGAAGCUAAAAGAAAAGACUGUGUGUAUGGGUCUUAAGAAGAUAACACAUGCUGGGUGUGAUGGCUCAUGCCUGUAAUCCUAGCACUUUGGGAGGCCAAGGUGGGCAGAUCACUUGAGGCCAGGAGUUCGAGACUAGCCUGGCCAACAUGGCAAAACCCCU